UCCUGGCUCAGAUUGAACGCUGGCGGAAUGCUUUACACAUGCAAGUCAAGCGGCAGCGCGGGGCAACCUGGCGGCGAGCGGCGAACGGGUGAGUAAUGCAUCGGAACGUACCCAGUCGUGGGGGAUAACUGUCCGAAAGGACAGCUAAUACCGCAUACGUCCUGAGGGAGAAAGCGGGGGAUCGCAAGACCUCGCGCGAUUGGAGCGGCCGAUGCCGGAUUAGCUAGUUGGUAGGGUAAAGGCCUACCAAGGCGACGAUCCGUAGCUGGUCUGAGAGGACGACCAGCCACACUGGAACUGAGACACGGUCCAGACUCCUACGGGAGGCAGCAGUGGGGAAUAUUGGACAAUGGGCGAAAGCCUGAUCCAGCAAUGCCGCGUGUGUGAAGAAGGCCUGAGGGUUGUAAAGCACUUUCAAUCGUGAAGAAAAGUUGCAGGCUAAUACCCUGUGACCUUGACGUUAACGAUACAAGAAGCACCGGCUAACUCCGUG
rnacentral:rRNA from 1 species